GACGAACGCUGGCGGCGUGCUUAACACAUGCAAGUCGAACGGUGAAGCACCUUCCUUUUGGUGGGUGUGGAUGAGUGGCGAACGGGUGAGUAACACGUGAGUAACCUGCCCCCUUCUUCUGGAUAACCGCAUGAAAGUGUGGCUAAUACGGGAUAUUCUGGGUCUGUCGCAUGGCGGGCCUGGGAACGAUAUUGUUUCGGUGGGGGAUGGGCUCGCGGUCUAUCAGCUUGUUGGUGGGGUGAUGGCCUACCAAGGCGGUGACGGGUAGCCGGCCUGGGAGGGUGGACGGUCACACUGGGACUGAGACACGGCCGAGACUCCUACGGGAGGCAGAAGUGGGGAAUAUUGCACAAUGGGCGCAAGCCUGAUGCAGCGACGCCGCGUGAGGGAUGGAGGCCCUCGGGUUGUAAACCUCUUUCGCCAGUGAAGCAGGCCUGUCCCUUUUGUGGGUGGGUUGACGGUAGCUGGAUAAGAAGCGCCGGCUAACUACGUG
rnacentral:rRNA from 1 species